rnacentral:rRNA from 1 species
CGGGGUGAGUAACGCGUGGGGAACCUGCCCUAUACAGGGGGAUAACAGCUGGAAACGGCUGCUAAUACCGCAUAAGCGCACAGAAUCGCAUGAUUCGGUGUGAAAAGCUCCGGCAGUAUAGGAUGGUCCCGCGUCUGACUAGCUGGUUGGCGGGGUAACGGCCCACCAAGGCGACGAUCAGUAGCCGGCUUGAGAGAGUGGACGGCCACAUUGGGACUGAGACACGGCCCAA